GGAAAAGAAACCAACAGGGAUUGCCCCAGUAACGGCGAGUGAAGCGGCAACAGCUCAAAUUUGAAAUCUGGCCCUCGGGUCCGAGUUGUAAUUUGUAGAGGAUGCUUUUGGCGCGGUGCCUUCCGAGUUCCCUGGAACGGGACGCCUUAGAGGGUGAGAGCCCCGUACGGUUGGACACCAAGCCUCUGUAAAGCUCCUUCGACGAGUCGAGUAGUUUGGGAAUGCUGCUCUAAAUGGGAGGUAAAUUUCUUCUAAAGCUAAAUAUUGGCCAGAGACCGAUAGCGCACAAGUAGAGUGAUCGAAAGAUGAAAAGCACUUUGAAAAGAGGGUUAAACAGCACGUGAAAUUGUUGAAAGGGAAGCGUUUGCGACCAGACCUCUCCCCGGCGGAUCAUCCGGCGUUCUCGCCGGUGCACUUCGCCGGGCUGAGGCCAGCAUCGGUUUCCGCGGGGGGACAAAAGCGGGGGGAACGUAGCUCCCUCGGGAGUGUUAUAGCCCUCCGCAUAAUACCCUCGCGGGGACCGAGGACCGCGCUUCGGCAAGGAUGCUGGCGUAAUGGUCGUCAACGACC
rnacentral:rRNA from 1 species